rnacentral:rRNA from 1 species
AGUGAACGCUGGCGGUAGGCCUAACACAUGCAAGUCGAACGGCAGCACAGUAAGAGCUUGCUCUUACGGGUGGCGAGUGGCGGACGGGUGAGGAAUACAUCGGAAUCUACUUUUUCGUGGGGGAUAACGUAGGGAAACUUACGCUAAUACCGCAUACGACCUACGGGUGAAAGCAGGGGAUCUUCGGCCCUUGCGCGAUUGAAUGAGCCGAUGUCGGAUUAGCUAGUUGGCGGGGUAAAGGCCCACCAAGGCGACGAUCCGUAGCUGGUCUGAGAGGAUGAUCAGCCACACUGGAACUGAGACACGGUCCAGACUCCUACGGGAGGCAGCAGUGGGGAAUAUUGGACAAUGGGCGCAAGCCUGAUCCAGCCAUACCGCGUGGGUGAAGAAGGCCUUCGGGUUGUAAAGCCCUUUUGUUGGGAAAGAAAAGCAGCAGGUUAAUACCCCGCUGUUCUGACGGUACCCAAAGAAUAAGCACCGGCUAACUCCGUG